GUACAGACUCAUACAAAAAUUACUACCUACCUAUUGGUCAGCAUCUGGGUCAGAAGACAAAACAUGAAGUUUAAUGUGUCUCAUGUUGGUAAAACUGGAGGAAGGCUGGGCAUUAUAUCAUUGGAGAAGAAUUCUUCUGGGACAGCCAUUACCUUGGAAACACCAUUCAGCUUGACAUACACAAGGGGCGGCUUUGUGCCGCACCUCAUCCCGGAGGUGACGGAGCGGCUGGCCUGGCGCAGCCCCCCCGUGAUGCAGGCACCCCUCGCCUCCCAGGCGGCCCUGCAGUCCGUACUGGAGGAGUUCGGCAAGGGCUACCGUACCUUCGCCGGCCUCGAGG